rnacentral:rRNA from 1 species
AUAGAGACUCAGAGCUGCAUAUCAAUAAGCGGAGGAAAAGAAACUAACAAGGAUUCCCUUAGUAACGGCGAGUGAAGCGGGAAGAGCUCAAAUUUGAAAUCUUCAAGGUUCUACCUUGACGAAUUGUAGUUUAAAGAAGUGUUUUCUGUUAGUGGAGUGGCAAAAGUUCUUUGGAAUAGGACAUCAUAGAGGGUGAGAAUCCCGUAUUUGGUCAUUCCCUCUAGCUUUGUGAUACACUUUCAAAGAGUCGGAUUGUUUGGGAAUGCAGUCCAAAAUGGGUGGUAAAUUUCAUCUAAAGCUAAAUAUUGGCGAGAGACCGAUAGCGAACAAGUACCGUGAGGGAAAGAUGAAAAGAACUUUGAAAAGAGAGUUAAACAGUACGUGAAAUUGUCAAAAGGGAAGCGUUUGACACCAGUGUUGUUUUUCCGAAAAUCAAUUACGAAUGUUUUGUUUUUAAGAAGUUAUGACUUCAUCGGCUUGCUUCCUUCUUUACGAAACUUUCUUAAUGCACUUUUCGGUUAACAAGUCAACAUCAAUUUCUUUUGUUGUAAAAGGGUACGAGGAAGGUGGCUUUCUUUUCGGAGAAAGUGUUUAUAGCCUUGUACCUCUGCAAUCGGAGAGAUUGAGGUCUGCAGCGUAGAUCCUUCGGGGUUAGAUACAGUUUGUGCUAAGUUAUAGCUUUUCAUAGACAACUUGUUGACUAUGUCUAGUCUUGUAGCUUACUCGCUGACUGCUAUUUUACCUACGCUUAGGAUGUUGAUAUGCAUGACUGAUAU